rnacentral:tRNA from 1 species
ACCUGGUUGGCUCAGUCGGUAGAGCAUGCAACUCUGGAUCUCAGGUUUGUGGGUUCGAGCCCCAUGUUGGGUG